rnacentral:rRNA from 1 species
UACGGAGGUGCAACGUUGCUCGGAAUCAUUGGGCGUAAAGCGCACGUAGGCGGCUUCUUAAGUCGGGUGUGAAAGCCUUGGCUCAACCGAGGAAGUGCAUUCGAAACUGAGGGCUUGAAUACUGGAGAGGAUGGCGGAAUUCCCGGUGUAGAGGUGAAAUUCGUAGAUAUCGGGAGGAACACCAGCGGCGAAGGCGACUCUCUGGACCGGUACUGGACGCUGAGACGCGAAGGCCAGGGGAGAGCAAACGGGG